ensembl:processed_transcript 2210408F21Rik RIKEN cDNA 2210408F21 gene
AAACACCGAGCUCCCCCUGAGCCGCCUGGGAGCAGGGAGGGUUCUGCUACCCUGAGGGGCCCUCCCCGCGGGGCAGAGGGUGGGAGGAAGUCACAGCAUCUACUUCUGAAUCUGUGCUUGCCUUGAGGAAAAACGGCAUGGCACAGGAAUGUGGACGCUUUCAACCAGAGGAUUCUGUACGACGGUGUCGGCACACAAGGAGUGUUCCACUGACUGACCUCUUUUUGUUUUCAAAUGAAGAGGAGCCAAGAAUAGGACAGCUUGGGAAGCUCAUCCUCGUCUACGGCCAAACGUUGGUUUCUCAUUUCUAGAAGAUGAAAGAUGUGAUGACUCAGGAAAAACUGGAAUCUUAGUAACUGUGGUGGGCAUUGAGCCUUGCCGUCCACAAGAGAAAGCUUGCUGCUCGAGAUGUGAGUCUUCAGAUGUUCCUGCCGCCAUAUCUGACAGCUGCUGCCAAGAUUCCCUGGUGGGAUGGACUCUUAUACCUCAACAACCAGAAGCCCAAGUAAACUCUUCUAUAAAUUGAAUGACUCAUGCUU